rnacentral:rRNA from 1 species
CCUACGGGUGGCAGCAGUGGGGAAUAUUGGACAAUGGGCGAAAGCCUGAUCCAGCCAUGCCGCGUGUGUGAAGAAGGCCUUCGGGUUGUAAAGCACUUUCAGUGGGGAAGAAAGCCUUGGGGCUAAUACCCUCGAGGAAGGACAUCACCCACAGAAGAAGCACCGGCUAACUCCGUGCCAGCAGCCGCGGUAAUACGGAGGGUGCGAGCGUUAAUCGGAAUUACUGGGCGUAAAGCGCGCGUAGGCGGUCUGAUAAGCCGGUUGUGAAAGCCCCGGGCUCAACCUGGGAACGGCAUCCGGAACUGUCAGGCUAGAGUGCAGGAGAGGAAGGUAGAAUUCCCGGUGUAGCGGUGAAAUGCGUAGAGAUCGGGAGGAAUACCAGUGGCGAAGGCGGCCUUCUGGACUGACACUGACGCUGAGGUGCGAAAGCGUGGGUAGCAAACAGGAUUAGUUACCCUUGUAGUC